UGUUGUCUACAUUUUUGUUCCCGCAUCGGUGAUUACGAUAUGGCCAUAGGUCUCCAAGGGUCUAACCUUCCAGCUGCCUUCAAGAAGUGUUCGGAAUCCGAGUCGGAACCAAGAUACAAAACCGAGACAAUAUAGGUUCAGCAAGUGCGGGAAGAUAGAUUGCUCCUCGGUGGAAACGGAAACACUUUUGGCCAGCAUGAUGGCCAGAUGUGUACGGUAUACAUUUGAUCGGGUGAAAAGAAACACCUAGUAACAUCGAACUGUGUUAAUUUUUAUUCUCCCAGCGGACUGGCUAAACUGUGUAUACUGUACCAGUAGAAUGCGGUCACAGAAAUUGUUAACCAAAACGAACAGUUUUGUCACCGGAAGAACUAGUCUUCAACGUUAACCAUUGGAGAGAUGCAAAGCAUAAGAAUAGCAUUAUCAUUGAUCUGCAGUGUUGGAUCAUAACUGGACUGCCGCUGAAGUUACACAAAUAGGGAAGCGUGGAUGUGGACAAUAGUCGGGCUACCAAACUGACCAUCUCGAGAAAGGUCAAGGUGAAAGAUGAUCUCGCCAAAGACGAAAAGUCACUCAAAUAAAGAUAAACUGACUAACUAA